rnacentral:misc_RNA from 1 species
AAGUCGUAACAAGGUUUCCGUAGGUGAACCUGCGGAAGGAUCAUUAAUACAACAAUAAGCCUAUGAUGCCGGCGCUGCCCUAUGGGCGGGCAGAUGUCCGGAGGUUCACGCUUUAGCGGGUGUGAUAGCGGCCACAGAGAGGGGGCAGGCUGUACCGCCAUCGUGACGCACGUGGAUAAAAGGAGUGCGUCACCUGGUCGGUCGACCUCCUGCCUCCUAUAUAUCCGGUCCGGGGAUAUGCUCUCUGGUAUGAGGGGUUUAGAGACCCCCUUCACGCUACACAUGACUGAAUCCUUAUUAUAUUCGUACCUCUCGUUCUCCUUCGGUGGGGCAACCUGCCGUAGGAACUUUAUAAACCCUUUUUUUGCAUCUAGCAUUACCUGUUCUGAUACAAACAAUCGUUACAACUUUCAACAAUGGAUCUCUUGGCUCUG